UUGGUCACUAUUAGGAGGAAUCCAACGGAUAAUUAGGGCAUUCGGGCUAGAAGUACAAACAGUGGCGACCUUAUGUUGUUGUUGAGCUUCUGAAAUACUUAUCCUUUUGGCCAAAAUUUCCGACCACAUAUUCUCCACAUUGGAGCUAUGGUUAUCGAAAAUUAGCAAAUUCCUCCGCUGCCAAAUAGUGUCUAAGGCAACACUGAAGACCAGAUUCCAUGCAAUUGUCCAAUCCUCACC
rnacentral:lncRNA from 1 species